rnacentral:rRNA from 1 species
UACAGAGGGUGCGAGCGUUGUCCGGAAUCACUGGGCGUAAAGGGCGCGUAGGUGGCCCGACAAGUCUGUGGUGAAAGCUCGACGCUCAACGUCGAGUCGGCCAUAGAUACUGUUGGGCUGGAGCACUGUAGAGGCUCAUGGAAUUCCCGGUGUAGCGGUGAAAUGCGUAGAUAUCGCCUGGAACGCCGAAGGUGAAAACAGUCUGCUGGGGGUGUGCCGACGCUGAGACACGAAAGCCAGGGGAGCGAACGGG